rfam:Pseudozyma antarctica T-34 DNA, contig: scaffold00024.
UCCCGGCUAGCUCAGUCGGUAGAGCGUCAGACUCUUAUUUAAGGGUUUCCAAGUUUCACUUGGGAUAUCUGAAUGUCGUGGGUUCGAGCCCCACGUUGGGAG